GCGGACGUGGCGGAACAGGUAGACGCAUCGGCCUUAAAAGCCGCUGACCCCAGGUCGUGCGGGUUCGAGUCCCGCCGUCCGCA
rnacentral:tRNA from 1 species